rnacentral:rRNA from 1 species
CCUACGGGAGGCUGCAGUAAGGAAUAUUGCGCAAUGGGCGAAAGCCUGACGCAGCGACGCCGCGUGGGGGAUGAAGGUCUUCGGAUUGUAAACCCCUUUCGGGAGGGAAGAUGGAACGAGCAAUCGUUCGGACGGUACCUCCAGAAGCAGCCACGGCCAACUUCGUGCCAGCAGCCGCGGUCAUACGAAGGUGGCAAGCGUUGUUCGGAUUCACUGGGCGUACAGGGUGUGUAGUUGGUAAGGUAAGCCUUAAAGCGUCGGGCCCAACCCGGAAAGCGCAGAGGGUACUGCCAGGCUAGAGGGUGGGAGAGGAGCGCGGAAUUCCCGGUGUAGCGGUGAAAUGCGUAGAGAGCGGGAGGAAGGCCGGUGGCGAAGGCGGCGCUCUGGAACACACCUGACGCUGAGACACGAAAGCGUGGGGAGCAAACAGGAUUAGAUACCCCAGUAGUC